GUGAGAGCAAGAGCCCGGAGAUGGAUUCUGAGACACGAAUCCAGGCCCUACGGGGUGCAGCAGGCGCGAAAACUUUACAAUGCCGGCAACGGCGAUAAGGGGACCUCGAGUGCCAGGUUACAAAUCUGGCUGUCGUGAUGCCUAAAAAGCAUUGCAUAGCAAGGGCCGGGCAAGACCGGUGCCAGCCGCCGCGGUAACACCGGCGGCUCGAGUGGUAACCGUUAUUAUUGGGUCUAAAGGGUCUGUAGCCGGCCGGAUAAGUCUCUUGGGAAAUCCAGCAGCUCAACUGUUGGGCUUUCAGGAGAUACUGUCUGGCUCGAGGCCGGGAGAGGUGAGAGGUACUUCAGGGGUAGGGGUGAAAUCUUGUAAUCCUUGAAGGACCACCAGUGGCGAAGGCGUCUCACCAGAACGGACCUGACGGCAAGGGACGAAAGCUAGGGGCACGAACCGGAUUAGAUACCCGGGUAGUCCUAGCCGUAAACGAUACUCGCUAGGUGUCGGCCACGGUGCGACCGUUGUCGGUGCCGUAGGGAAGCCGUGAAGCGAGC
rnacentral:rRNA from 1 species